CAUUGCUGGUUGGACUGGAAGAUGGUACAACCACUCUGAAAAUCACUCAGAAAAUUGGACAUAGAACUGCCUCAGGCCCAGAUAUACCACUUCUGGUCACAUACCGGAGAGAUGCUCCUACAAAUAACAAGGGCACCUGGCCCACUCUGCUCAUAGCCUUAUUUAUAAUAGCCAGAAGCUGGAAAGAACACGGAUGCCCUUCCACAGAGGAAUGAAUACAGAGAAUUUGGCUUAUAAAAAAAUCACUGAAUUCUUUAAGGUACAUAAUUAGUAAAGUGUUUGAAAUGCAAUGUGACAGAUAUUUUGAUAUUCAAUAUUUGGUAAAGUACUUGCCUAACUAAACAGAUUUGAGCUUGAACUUCAUCAAAAUGCAGGUUACAUUGUGAAAACAAGGAAGAGCAGAUCACAGGAGGUAGACACGCAAAAAUAUGAAUCUCAAGAUCAUCCUAAGCAAGUCUAUGAACUGACUGAGUCCAUUUCAAAGGAAAGCUUUGUACAAAUUUGGCAAUUAUUCUACAGGUGAGUAACACUCUUCCUCCAAAUAUUUAAGGUUCUCCUUUCUUUAUGUAAAAGCUUAACCUUCCAUCUAUAUCUUGUUUUUCCAAUUAUAAUUGAUAGAUAAUAUGUUUCAGUACUUCUAAAUUCAAAUGUGAGUUUUUUUUUAAUUUGAUAUAUUUUCUCUAAUUCUCAAUGUCAGCAUAAAAAAAUUGAAAUUUGAAGUCAAUAUACCUAAAUUAUUCUCUGUCACUGGAAUUUAUGAAACUGGUGCUUUAGAGAAGGGGAAAUGUCAGGCUAUGAUUUAAUCAGUGGAGAUCCUUAGGAGUCAGGGUGAUUAUGGAACCUAAGAAAGAAAAAUGUCCCAGACUAUAUAACUUGGCCUGACAGCUCAAUAUCUUUAUACUAUAAUUUAUGUCCAUGUUGUCUCCAAAUAAUAACACAGCUUAUGGACAAAGAGAGAAAUUUAGAUACCCUCACAUGAUUGUGAGAAAAUUGUCAGUCAUUCAUUUUGACAUUUCUUCCUGUAUAGGAUGUUUUUCUUUAUACUGUCAUUAAUUUCCAACCAUAGCUAAGUCUUGGAGAAUGUGGUGCAUAUAAUGAGGUUUUAUAGUUUUGUGUCAGUCCAUCAGGUCUUAUGUUACAGUCCUUGAACCAUUUGCAGUCGAGUUUAAGAUGGUAAUCGAUAAAGAUAUAUUUUCAUUCUUCUAUCUACAGUUUUCCAGGUUAAUAAGAAGCAUUUAGUAUGUUUUUCAUUUUUUUUAAAUGACUGUAUCAAUAUAGGAUUAUACAUUAUUCAUCCUUUCUAUUCAACUGAUCAAUGUAAUAUAUUGUUAUGACAUUUAAGUCGUAUCAUUUUAAAGUAGUAUCAUUGUUGUGUAUGAAGACUAUCAAAUUUUCUGCGUUAAACUCUAAUCCUAUCAACUUUGUGGGUGAAACAGUAACAAGAGAUUUCUAGUUGAAAAUUAAGGAUAACAUAUAUAUAUAUAUAUAUAUGUAUAUAUAUAAAAACAUCAUAUUCAAAUGAAGAUAACUUAACAUUCCCAUCUGUAUCACAUUUUACUUCUUCAACAUUUUUCUAUCGAUAAUUCUUGCAUUCCCUAAUACUGUGAUAAGUAAUGGAAUGAAUUUGUCUUGUUCCAAAGUAUUAUCAUUAAUACAUGUCUCCACUUACUAAAAUUUUGGCUUUUGUUAUAUAUUACCUAUAUUAAGUCAAUAUAUGUUCUCUAUAUCCUUACCAGUGGUAAUAUUUCUGAAAAAAUAAUUUGACACUUGCUCAUCCAGCAGCCAUCGAUGUUAAUUUCAUAUGAUCAAACUAUUGGUGAGUACACAUUUAUCGUAAUUGGAAUUUUAAUGGUUUUUCAUUAAUUAUCGACCAACACUGAAUGCAACCAGAAUUAUUUCUCAGAAACCCCUUAGAACAGCACAAAUUCUUGGAUAUAACCUGAAACACAUAUUUUUGUGUGUGAAAAUGACCAUUUAGAAUAGCAUCAAAUAAUUUUAUGCUAGGACGUACAAUGUCCGUCGACAUGUUUUUUAUGUAUGUUUGCAGUGCCAUGCCUCAUUUUUUAGCCUCUGAAGGAAGCCUCAAUUGCGAUAAAGAAAGCGGUUGUUUAGUCCUAUAGACCGUUUCACUGGUACUGUACUUUUGGCACAUUUUGCCUCUCAUGUCAUUAUUGUAGCCUGCAAUGUCCAGCAGUACGUAAAUAAAUCACUAUCUUUGAUCUUGCUAAUAAUCUGAAUAGCACUUCCAUGUAGUAUUAAAGAGAGCUAACAGAA
rnacentral:sRNA from 1 species